rnacentral:lncRNA from 1 species
AUGCCCAAGUUUUAUUGUGACUACUGCAAUACAUACCUCACCCAUGACUCUCCUCCUGUGAGAAAGACACACUGCAGUGGUAGGAAACACAAAGAGAAUGUGAAAGACUACUAUCAGAAAUGGAUGAAAGAGCAGGCUCAGAGCCUGAUUGACAAAACAACGGCUGCAUUUCAACAAGGAAAGAUACCUCCUGCUCCAUUCUCUGCUCCUCCUCCUGUAGGAGCAAUGAUACCACCUCCCCCUAGUCUUCCAGGUCCUCCUCACCCUGGUAUGAUGCCAGCACCCCAUAUGAGGGGUCCUGCCAUGAUGCCAAUGAUGGGCCCUCCUCCUCCUGGGAUGAUGCCAGGGGGACCUGCUCCUGGAAUGAGGCCGCUUAUGGGAGGCCACAGGCCAAUGAUGCCUGGGUCCCCAGUGAUAAGACCUCCUGCCUGUCCCAUGAUGGUGCCCACUCGGCCCAGAAAGACUUGA